GUACUACUUCCUCCGUCCCAAAAUUCUUGUCUUACAUUUUUCUAGAUACGGAUGUAUCUAAUACUAAAAUGUGAUUUGAUACAUCUGUAUUUGGACAAAUUUAAGACAAAAAUUUUGGGACGGAGGGAGUACAUU
rnacentral:pre_miRNA from 1 species